CCGUGCGCGACAUACGGGUGCACGUACAGAAUAAUUAUUCUACGGUGUUACGUGCCCUUGCAUGUCCGCUUUCGGUCUAUACACGUAUCCUCCGUGGAUUUUCGAACGACUUUCUUUGCCGAUCUCCUUCGGAAAACGAACGAUGUUGCUCGCAAUCGACAACUAACUUUCUUUUUUUUUUUUUUUUUUUUUUUUAAUUCUUCGCGCGAUUCUAACUGGUAGGGGCUAUGGAACGAAGCGUGAUAAUUAUCGCGAAAGAAAAGAAGGAAAACGCGUCCAAACGCAAUAUUUUUUUUUUCUUUUUUUCCUCUUUGACUCGUCAUUGUGUUCGACACAGGCGUUUUCUGUUUUUCCUGUAUGAUUAUGUAAAUUCUUUGAUACUUUGGAGAGCUUCUGCGAUUACAUAAUUUGCCCCCUCCCCUCGGCUCUUUAACGCGUUAUUAGAUUCUUCAGUGACGCGUGCCGUGGGGGAGGGGGGGAAGAAGCAGUUGUACAGAUUCUUUCGAUCGAAGCUCUUGCUUUUCUCUUCCUUUAUUCAUUCUUUCGGCUAAGUGGUGGGAGAGUUGUUAAUUCUGUUUGGCAUUUCUUUUUUAUUUAAGAAGUUCUUUCGUGCACUUUCGUGUAUAUAUAUGUGUGUAUAUAUAUAUAUAUAAAUAUAUAUACACACGAUUAUCAUUUGUUAUUUCAAGAGAAAAGAUGAUUGUUUCAUCUGUCUCUUCUUCUUCCUUUUUUUCCCUUUCUUUUUCUUUCAACGAAGUUGUAUGCAAUUUGAUUUUUGAGAAACAUGCUCUCUUCGUCUUUCUUUUCUUACUUUUUCCUUCACGAAUCGCGAGUCUCUGUAAUUUUAGAUUAACGACAUCAGGAAGUAAAACAAAUCAACCACUUGUUAUCGCCUCAAUAUAUCAUUUCCGCGGUUCACGGGUCAGAUUCAGUCUGGUUCUGGAUUUAGUUGCAGAACAAGCUUUGCUCUGCAAGUUCCCACGAGGUUUUUCAGCUCGGUUCUCGGUUCAGGGUGAAAUUUUUGCACACACGUGCACUCGCAGGGAUGCUCUGUUUUUCUGUUUUAUUCGAGUUUUUAGCGUUCUCUUCCUUUCGUUUUCUUCCUUCCUCGUCGUUUGGCGUGUUCUGGCAAACUCUCUACGUGCGAUACGGUGGUGUUAAAGAGCAGGCAUAGAGUCUUAACUGUGUGACACAUAUCCGUACUAUAUACUUCUCGUUAGGGAAAGAAUUACCGGCAAAUCGAAUCUGUUUUUUUUCUUUCUUUCUUUCUUUCUUUCUUUUUUUCUUCUUUUCUUUUCUUUUCGUUUCAAAUCAAGUCAAAGGGGAGAGAAAUGAGAACGGAGGUUUUCCCGCUCAUUCGAGGUAUCAAAAUGAAAAGAAGACACGUGUAUAAAAGGAAACAAAAUGGAACCAACGUCUUCGAGCAACAACGUCAAACAAUAAAGAAAUGAACAAUGAACAAAAGUGAAAUCGCGUGUCGCGCAUCGAAAUCGCUUUGAAACCCUCAAAAGUAUUUUGUCAAGAGGAAAGUUUCGAAGCGCGACAUCGUUUUUUUUUAAACGACAUACACGCACGCGCGCGCGUACACAUACACACACAUACACACGCAUACAUGCACACACGUACGUAUAAUGUAACGUGUCGUUCUCAAAAAAAAAAGAAAAAAAGAAAAAUUGAUCUUUCAUGCAAGAGAAUGAAAAUCGAUUUUUUUCGUACGAGGCUUCACCGAUCAUUAUACAGGGACACGAAACACGAGCCACAGAAAACACUAUGUCGAUUAAUUAAUUAAGCCUUAAAUUUAGAAUUAAGUUCGGAAGGUCUGACGAAGCGAAAUGAAAGGAAAAAAAAAGAAAAAGAAAAAAAGAAACAGAGAGGCAAUGGAAGAAGAGAAAAAAAAAAGAAAGGAGAGGGGGAGAGAGAGAAAAAAGGAAGGAAGCUCUGUCGUUCUAAAGCGCCAUGGUCUACGGACUAAAUAUAUUUAAAUCAAAUACUUCAAUCAAUAUUUUUUAAACGAGAGACGCGCGCGAGAGAGCGCGUGAUUUUUUUUUUUAGUCGGCGAGAGUCGACUUGACUGUUGCUGUUUUCGUAAUCUGAAUCGUUCCUCCUUUUUUCUUUCCACUUAGAUUUCCCGCGAGAACGUAGAUGAUCCCCCCGUCCUCGGCGGUUUUUUUUUUUAAAUCGUUUCUACUCACUCUCGGAAAAAAAAUCUCAAAGGCACGCGCUUCGAUCUCAGUCCUGUGUCCCGCGAAAGAGACACAUAUUCCUUUUUCUUUCUUUUCGCUUUUAUUUCUUUGUUUCGAUACCAAAUCCACCGCGGUCGUAGCAAUCGCGCAGAAAUCGGCCAACAAAUCGGCGAGCCUCUUCGAGAUUCGAUUCGUUUCGAGUGUUCGACGCGACAUUCGAUUUCGAGGAGACGCCAGCGAAUGAAAGAGAAAAACAAACAGAAAAAAAAAAAAAGAAGAAAAGAAGUUGAUCGAAAGAUCAACAACAACAACAACUGCGUGGUUCUACGGCGCGUGUUUUUUUCUACAUUGAUCGAAAAAAGAAGAAAGACCAUUUUCUCGAAGUGCUAGACCAUCGGUCUAAGAAAGGAGGUUUCACACGAUUUUUACCUACGGUAGCAAAGAGAAGUAACCUCGUAAUCUGUCGAUCGUUUAUCUUUGUAAAUCCCCUGUAAUCGCAAUCUCCGACGAGAGCCUGUCGAUGACAAUAUUUUUUAAUCCUUCUUCGUGCUGCUGCUCGUGAAAGUCUUAGCCGUACGCCAGCGCGAUGCGCGAUCAGAUCGUAAAAUGCGUGUAAAAGCUUUUACUUCCCCCACCCCCCCUUUUUUUUCUUUCUUUUCUUUCCCCACGUACUUCGUUCCGGGGAGUUAAAAAAAAACUCGGGAAAAGAGUAUACACGCGAAAUAAAAACAAACAGAUCGUCAAUGAAUCGCGAAAGGCGAAAUAAUAAAUAAAAAAAAAAAAAAAAAGAAAAAAUAAGAGAAGCAAUGAAAUUGUUCAAAUUGUUUACUGGGUAGAACACAGCAACGCGAGAAAAGUAUCCGUGUCGUUAGCUGAUGUGCGGCUAAACCAAGUAUAAAAAAUAUAGUAGGGGGAAAACGGGAUCGGUCGCGCGAUCGCGACGAGCAAAAGAAGAUAAAAAAAAGAAAAGAAGAGAAAAGAAAAGAAAAACGCACUGACUAUUUUAGCGAAUCGAGAUUCGACCAUGUACCUUGAUAUAUACCUUGAGUGUGUUUUCCAGAAAGUAUGCGUGCGUCGGUGAUAUCAUCAGAAAGAGAGAGAGAGAGAGAGUGAGAGAGUGUGUGUAUGCGAGCGUGCCAAAAGAAAAGUGUGCGAGUUUCUUUUUGGAGGUGACAGAGCGUGUGUGCGUGCGUGUGAGAGAGAAUGAAUAUAAAUAUAUUAUAUUAAAUAUAUUGUAUACAGAGAGGGGGAGAGUUCCUCUCUCUCUCAAGAAUCGAACACGUUUUAUCGUUUCGUAACGAACAACAAAACGGCAAAUUGAAACAAACUCGCGUCCGUUGUUCAGCUUCUCGAUUUCUCGCGCGUGCAGAGCGGUUUCUGUCGCGCGCCAUUUUGCGCGCGAUCGAUCAUCGGAUGCUGCGAAGACAAAAUAAGAGAGAAAGGAAGAGCAACGCACGUGUGAUCGACGUGUAUUGUCGUUGUGCGUUGUUUCGGGAGGAAAGAGAGGGUGAAAAAAAAAAAAAAAGAAAGAAAAAGAAUCGCCUGCACGCGCGUGACAAUAAUUUUUUUUCCUACGUGUUUAGGCCACUUUAGAGUUUUCUUCUUCCUUUUCGAAAACUCGGCGCCGGGGAGCGACGUCUGCGCGAUGAACUGUCCGAGUUCAACGAUCCCUUUGAACGUGAAAAUUAAAUUAAUUAAACAUUUAGGCACCGCGUGUGCUUUCGACUUUCCAGAGUCGAUUACCAAAUUUGUCAAAAUGCUGUACCAGGUGUGCUCGUACACCGCUUUUUUAGUCGGCCAGUAGUGAAUGAUUCCUAGUGGACCUAGUUUCCGGGUGAACGGUGAAUUUUAGCAACACGUAGAAGCAAAUUAACGAAAAUGUAAAAAAACGAUCGUUUAACGCUUGAUUGAUGAUCCUUUGACUGACUUGUUCUUUAGUUCUUUUUUUCUUUGAUUUUAACGAAUUUCACAACGAGUUUUAGUUUGUUACGAGGACGCUAAAUUUUAGGUGGGUACUACGUUCUCUUUUAAGAGACGAUCGGCCAGUUAUUCGAUGAAUUCUUGAAAAGUUAGUACGUAUUUCGAAUCACGAAGAAGAGAAAUUGAAAUGGUUUUGACGAAAACGGCCUUUCACUCGUUGGCAGAUGUCUCUCCUCCGUUCGUACGCGUCCGAGUAAUACGUCCUACAAACCACGUGGCAUUUCUUCGAACAGUUUCUCCUGCCCUUUCUUUCAUUUUCUUUUUUUUUUUUCUCUUUCUUCUUUCUUUCCUACGUUUUGUAAGUUUGCAACUUUACACCGAGCAUCGCUGUACAGAGCAUUGUUCCGCGAAACUCUGGUCUGCUUUAAACCGAAUGACAACGUUAGAGGUGUUGUACAUAAAAAGAGAAGAAAAGAAGGCUAAACCGAAACGCGAGGCUUGGUACGGUGCGCCAAAUGGCACUAUCCGUUCGAGGAAGCUUAUGCUUGAGAAACGGCAGGUCUUUCGCAUUCACAAAGAAGAAAAAAAAAAAGAAGAAAUCCAACAUUUUACUACAAUCUAAUUCGUGAUCUCGACGCAACAGUAUUAAAAAAAGUAUAUUUCGACUGAGGCUUAAAAAGAAGGAAGACAUAUAUAUAUAUAUAUAUAUAGGACAUAUAUAUAUAGGAAGACAAAUGCAAAAAAAAAAAGGAAGAUUCGAUGGACUAUAUUGAUAAUCAACCCUGUCGUCUUCGAGAGUAUAAGCUUCGCGAGUCCGAUAAGGUUAUACAGAAAACAAAAAAAAGAAAAAAAAACACAGAAGGUCAGAACUUUUGUUCUAUCAUCUACACAUCCUCCACCCCAACCCCCCAACGAAAUAGUGGCGACGAGUUUAUCGUUAGACAGUAAAUUAUAUAUAGAUAUAAUUAGGAUUUUACGGAGUCACGGAUUAUUUCUGCGAUAGACGACGAUAAGGUAGAAUAAGAGAGAGAGAGAGACAUAUAGUGCGUAUGUAAAUGAGUGUAAAUUAACGACGAAGAGACAAAAACGACAUAACGGCGAGAAGAACAAUAACGAUGCUUGAUUUUCCCUUUCGUGUCUCUUUGAUAAAACUCCGUCGCAGACACGAUGCAAUUUACUGGCAAGUUUUAGGGUACAUAAGAAAAUAGAGGUUAUAUAUAUAUAUAAAUAAACAAAUAUAUAUAUAUAUAUACACAUACACACAUAUAUAUAUAUAUAUAUAUAUUAUUGUACGUAAAUUUCGCAAAAGCAGUACGUUUAAGGUUCGACUCGCGCGCAUACAUAAGAAAACACUGUAUUGUAAAGAAAAAAAACUAUCGUACUAAGGCUGCCCGUUUCGCAUGUGAUUUGUUUUGUUUUCGGAGGAGGAUCGAUCGACUACGAAGAGAAAAGUGGGUCUAGGCGUCAGACAAGGGAAGAAAAAUGGACAAGGUCCACGAAUAAUUGUAUAUAUAUAUAUACAUAUACAUAUACAUAUAUAUAUAUAUAUAUAUAUACACACACACGCAGGUGAAAUUCGAUUUGUGAAAGAGAAUAUUUUGUUAUGUAAAAGAAGAAGAAGAAGAAGAAGAAGAAGAAGAAGAAAAGUUCAUUUACAAUAUGGCUGCCGCGCACGGUAUCCUUCGAGCGCCACGUUUUGAACGACUCGAUCGAUACACGUCUUUUGGGAUCUAUUUCGCGACCUGAAACUUGUAAAGAAGAAGAAGAAGAGCGAACGAAACAAGAAGAAGAAGAAGAAGAAGAAGAAGAAGGGUGGCAACGAAAGAAGAAGAUAGAACAUCGUCGUUACGCGCAAGAACGAGAUUUUCUGUAUCAUUCCGAAGGAUGGAGGUUGUAACUUGGUCGCUCUCGUGUUUAAAAGAAAAAAGAAAAAAAAAAAACAAGAAUAUGAACAUACGUACUGUAUGUACACCGAAGAAAACUCGUAAAAAAAAAAGUACAUUCCGGUUUGCAAUAUGUUGCCGAUGUUUCUCGAAACGGCAUGCACAAUUUACCAACAAAUCAUUCGCAUCGUGAUAUGUAUAUAUAUUAUAUAUGUGUAUAUGUAUAUAUAUAUAUGUAUAUAUAUAUAUAUGUAUAUAUGUAUAUAUUGUAUCGAGGAGGAGAGAGAAUUUCGACUGGACGCAACUCCUGUCGAACUUUUAUUUCUUCGAAUGAAUAAAAAAAUAGGAAAUGGAAACGAAGAGAGGACCAAGGAGGAAGAAGAAGAAGAAGAAGAGAUGAAAAGAGUAGAGACAAGAGGAUAACGGGAGAUCAAAACGAUUGCGCGAUCGACGAGAAUAAAUAUCGAUUGGCCACCUUUCUCGACGCGCAUCCCGUUGUUUUCUUGGCGAAACAAUCGUCUCGUGUUUGCGCGUCCGACGUGCACGGAAGACUGUAUAAAAUUAGCAAAGAAGCAAAGGAGUCGUCAGAGAGGCGAGGUCGUGUCCACGAGACAAGAUAAUAACACGUUUUCGUGAAGAGAAGAUUUUUUUGAUGGUAUAAUUAAUAUAAUCGUCCAGGUUCGACAGAGGAGCAAUUAUUUUUUGCCGUUUUUUUUUUUUUUCUUUUUUUUCCCCUCACAGAAAAAUCGUCUCGAUGGUUUUCGUCGCUAGAGCAAGAUAAUUAUUGCGAACGGCGAUGAGGAAGAUGAUGAAAAUAUAAUGAUAAUCCUCCGGGGAAAUGAAAGGAAACUGGCAAGACACAGCCAGGGCGAGUACUUGGAGAACAAAAUAUAGCGAUAAUCCAAGUCGUACCUAAAGCGUAAUCAUUUAUAUAUCGUAAUUUUGGUACUGUUAUUCGAGUACGUAUACACGCGGUUUUUUUUUUUUUUUUUUGAAAGUAAGUAUAGUAAGCGUGUAAUCACAAUGGUAGAGAAGAAGGAAGAAAUACGAAGAAGAUGCGAAAGAAGCGAUUGUCGGCGAUAAUAAAACGAAAGCAGGAAGAAGAAGAAGAAGAAGAAGAAGAAAAAGAAGAAGAAGCAAAAGUGUAAAUAUGACAGUAUCGUAGAAUGGAACGACAAUUAUUAAUCGCGAGUAAUGGCGGAGAUAUAAUAAUGUCUUUCAAGUUUGAUUAUUGACGAGGAAGUAAGCGAGAAAGCGGAUUUGAACGAGACUGGAGCGAGUGUGAGAGAAUUUUUAAAAAACCACCAGAAAAAAUGUCUUUUUGAGAACAAAAGGCGCCAAAAAAAAUCGAUGUGUAAAAGCAGUGAGGAGUGUGCAUGAGAAACAGAGUGGAUGGGAAGAAUGACUGAUGAGAAAAGUAAGGGAAUAUCAAUGAAAGGAAAGUUCAGAAUAAGAGUAUAGAAGAGACUAUCGAGAGACAAGGAACGAAGUAUAUAUAAGAUUGGAAACGUUGGUGUGCAAUAGUCGCCGAGAAAGCUCAAACAUGAGUUGAGGAGAUUUCAAAGAAGAAGAAGAGGAGGAGAAGGAGAAGGAGGAGGAAAAAGAUUCUUGGAUUCUCUUCCGUCUAGAAACAAGGAUUUGGUGUGAGAAUCUUUUUUGUAGAAAGUUCAAAGCAGAAGUUUCUGAGGCGAUUCGUGGGAGUCAAAAGUUAGAAUUGACUUCCUUUGAAAAGUAUUUCAAAGUACAGCACAACUACAGGCACGUAUAUACACACACAGAAGUAUACAUGCUCAUCCAUAUACACACGUAUUAUGUAUAUAAGAAAACGACAACAGAAGCAGAAUUAAGAGAUUCAAUGUCAGAAAGAGAUGCGCGUUUACGAUGAGUCACAUGUGGCAAAUUCAAAUUGAAUGAACACUGGGCCCUCAUACUUAGUAUUACCAUCGCAUACUACCUGUAUGCCACGUACGGCAUACGUUCAUCAUGAGAGUACAGAAGUGAAUCUUUGAGAGACUGAAGUUACAUUGAGAAAAAUUCAAAAGAGAGAGAGAGAGAGAGAGAGAAAGAGAGAGAGUGAGAGAAAGAGAGAGUUGGUGGAUAGCUGGAAAUUUUCUCAGCGAGCGAGAAUCUGUAUACAAUUUUAUCAUAGAGGGAGAGUGCACACAAUUGAAGAUUUUUUGAUGUCCACCCUCGCGUGUGAAUGGAUCCGUUCUUCUGAAGAAGAAAUCAGGAAGAACGAAAUAGUGCAAAAUUCUCAACAUUUCCUGGCAAUUUCGUAGACACUAUCAUGUCUUUCUUUUUUUCCCUACCCAUUUUUUCCUUUUUUACUUUCUUUUUUCUUUCACCUUUACCAUUAUUUUCUCUUCUAACAGCAAAGACAAAAACUACUGGCCGAAAUUGUACGCAGCAGAGAAGCAUUCAGCUUCCCUUGACACUUUUCGAUGAUAAUAUUAUGAAUCCUGUUCCUCUCUUAUACCAUACUUUACACACAUAUUGCGCAUAUCCCGUCCACAUUUCCUCUUUAUUAUUCUUUUUUUCUUUAGGGCCCUUCUCAGGGCCCGCAAAUAUUUCAUUUAUGGAGUAGCAGCUCCUCGGCUGAACUAAACAUGCAAAAAAAAAAAACUUUUCAGGACAAAAAUUUAAAAUCGUCCUUUUGAGGACGAAAGGGCAAACGCCUUCUUCUUGCAGGAGAAAAAUCUAGAAAGUACAAACAAUGGAAUUUUCCAAGAUGAGAACUUUGAGACUACCUGAACUGUUAGCAAUUCUUGUUUUUCGCUUUUGCAAUGGAUUUCACUUGACUUUGUAAUGUGUUGGCGUUCAGUUCAACAUGACUGAGACAAGCGCAUUUGCAUGGAAAUUGAAGAAGAAAGUCGUGGAAGAAUUCCAGUAUAGAACGUUCAGUGAACGAAGUUUUAAGUGUGUCACGUUUCACUAGAAAAGCGAAUCAGUUUUAUGAUUUCGUUGACCUCCUUAUGAAAAAUUCUUUUAUUGGAUUAUCUCUAUAUGAUUCUAUCAAAAUGAUAGAUCCUUACAUGCAUAUAUUGAAAUACAUAUCAUACAUUUUGUUUUGCAAUGAAAGAUGCAAGUAAUGAGAUUUAUAUAAUUAUGCAACGCAAAUUAUAUAUCUUGGUCGUACUUUGAAGUUUCAUGCUUACAUGUACUUGUGACGUCGAAGAGAAUAAGUAAUGAAGACAGAAUGUGGAUUUGGAAUUGAAAAGGUUACACGUCAAUAGCUUGGCGAAGAAAUUCAAGUAUUUAUUCAAUUGCUACUGUUUUAUUAUUUUAAAAACUGACUUUUAAUGAAUAUAUUUUUAUACAAUGUA